GGAAGUAAAAGUCAUAACAAGGUUUCCGUAGGUGAACCUGCGGAAGGAUCAUUAAUGAGUUGUCAUGGGGUUCGAUGCUGGCAGCCAAUUUUUGGAUGCAUGUGCUUGCCCUAACAAUCAUCUUCCAAACACCUGCGCACAUUUUUGAGGGAGUCUUGAGUUGGUUGCCGCUCUUGGGUGAUUUUCUCACAUUCCCUUAAAUCAUUAUACGCUAUUAACAAUGCUGAACGUGCUCUGUGCCGCAAGGCUAUUAAUAUAAUACAACUUUUAACAACGGAUCUCUUGGCUCUC
rnacentral:misc_RNA from 1 species